CCUACGGGAGGCAGCAGUGAGGAAUAUUGGUCAAUGGGCGAGAGCCUGAACCAGCCAAGUAGCGUGAAGGAUGACUGCCCUAGGGGUUGUAAACUUCUUUUGUAAGGGAAUAAAACGAGGCUCGUUUGCCUUUUUGCAUGUACUUUAUGAAUAAGGAUCGGCUAACUCAGUGCCAGCAGCCGCGGUAAUACGGAGGUUCCGAGCGUUAUCCGGAUUUAUUGGGUGUAAAGGGAGCGUAGAUGGGUUGUUAAGUCAGUUGUGAAAGUUUGCGGCUCAACCGUCAAAUUGCAAUUGAUACUGGCAUUCUUGAGUACAGUAGAGGUAGGCGGAAUUCGUGGUGUAGCGGUGAAAUGCUUAGAUAUCACGAAGAACACCGAUUGCGAAGGCAGCUUACUAAACUGUGACUGACAUUGAUGCUCGAAAGUGUGGGUAUCAAACAGGAUUAGAUACCCUGGUAGUC
rnacentral:rRNA from 1 species